rnacentral:rRNA from 1 species
CUCAAAGGAAUUGACGGGGACCCGCACAAGCGGUGGAUGAUGUGGAUUAAUUCGAUGCAACGCGAAGAACCUUACCUACCCUUGACAUGUCCGGAACUUGCCAGAGAUGGCUUGGUGCCCGAAAGGGAAUCGGAACACAGGUGCUGCAUGGCUGUCGUCAGCUCGUGUCGUGAGAUGUUGGGUUAAGUCCCGCAACGAGCGCAACCCUUAUCAUUAGUUGCUACGCAAGGGCACUCUAAUGAGACUGCCGGUGACAAACCGGAGGAAGGUGGGGAUGACGUCAAGUCCUCAUGGCCCUUAUGGGUAGGGCUUCACACGUAAUACAAUGGUCGGUACAGAGGGUUGCCAACCCGCGAGGGGGAGCCAAUCCCAGAAAACCGAUCGUAGUCCGGAUUGUAGUCUGCAACUCGACUGCAUGAAGUCGGAAUCGCUAGUAAUCGCGGAUCAGCAUGUCGCGGUGAAUACGUUCCCGGGCCUU